rnacentral:rRNA from 1 species
AUACGUAGGGGGCAAGCGUUAUCCGGAUUUACUGGGUGUAAAGGGAGCGCAGACGGUCUGUCAAGUCUGAAGUGAAAACCUGAGGCUUAACCACAGGAUUGCUUUGGAAACUGAUGGACUUGAGUACCGGAGGGGUAAGCGGAAUUCCUAGUGUAGCGGUGAAAUGCGUAGAUAUUAGGAAGAACACCGGUGGCGAAGGCGGCUUACUGGACGGUAACUGACGUUGAGGCUCGAAAGCGUGGGGAGCAAACAGGAUUAGAUACCCUGGUAGUCCACGCUGUAAACGAUGAAUACUAGGUGUCAGGAAGCGAAGCUUUUUGGUGCCGACGCAAACGCAUUAAGUAUUCCACCUGGGGAGUACGUUCGCAAGAAUGAAACUCAAAGGAAUUGACGGGG